UACGGAGGGUGCGAGCGUUGUCCGGAAUCAUUGGGCGUAAAGGGCGCGUAGGUGGCCUGCUAAGCGUGCGGUGAAAGUCGGGGGCUCAACCCCCGAUCGGCCGUGCGAACUGGGAGGCUUGAGCACUGUAGAGGCAGGCGGAAUUCCGGGUGUAGCGGUGGAAUGCGUAGAGAUCCGGAAGAACACCGGUGGCGAAGGCGGCCUGCUGGGCAGUAGCUGACGCUGAGGCGCGACAGCGGUGGGGAGCAAACAGG
rnacentral:rRNA from 1 species